GGGGCAUAGUUCAGUGGUAAAGCAUAUCUGCUUUGCAUGCACUAGGUCCCAGCUUUGAUCCCUGGCAGCUUCG